AUGCCCCCUCCAUACACACGUACGUCCUCCCUUGUGAAUCCUCUUUCUCACCCAGCCACAGCUCUGCACUCGCAUGGAAGCAACAGCUCCUGGUUGUGGAGAAACAAGCAUCUUCAGUGGAUGAAUCUCUUCUUGCCUAGGUGUCCCAUGAUUGUGGAGUCCCUGGGGAGACCAGGACGGUGUCAGGCGUGGAGGGAGACUUUGCAGGCAGCAACUUCCAUGGGGAGUUUUCACUAUGGGCCAUGGUGGAUGUGGCCAAUAGAGCCAAGAUUCAUGGGGUCAUGUCGAUCCGGAUACAAACGAAAACUCAACGAGAAAAAGGACUGGGCCCACCCAGGCCUACAGCUCAGCUUCCAGGCCCGCACAGGCUGCUGGAACCGUCCUUGGAAAGUUACAUGCAGACACAGCCAAGGGUGGGGAGACCACGACCCGAUGAGGAAAUGGCUAAGCCCGACACUCACCCUGCUCUUGUCCCAGCUCACCUGGUGGGGCUGGGGGCUCAGCAGUGCCCCUCGGGAGCCCAUGGCCAUCUACAUAAGUUUGUGGGCCUUCGAGAGCAAGGCUGUGCCCACUUCAUCUCGCACAAGUUCCGGCAGAGUAGGCACCAGGAACAUUUGCCAUCUGAACAGAGGCGUGAACAGAUGAACUGGAGGGAGACGGGGUGGGCGAUGGGGGCAGGUGGCUUAUUUGGGAGGCAGUAAUCCUGGAACAUAGGAAUGAGCCAGUGGGAAAGUGUGUAAGUGGAGGGAGAAGGACCAAGAAGGGGUACACAAACGAGCAGGCUACUCGGCGGGCACCUGGGGCUCAGUCCACUGAGCGGCUGUACGGAACAUGCCUAGAGUUGUCCCACCCAGCGACAGGCAAGCUGGAGUGUUUCAUCACUGUCCACCGCCCUCAUUGGGUGAGCGCUCCUCUGGCAACAUUUCCAGCCCUGGUAUUUCUGGGUGCCCUGCGAGAAGGUGGACAAGCUUCUGUGGUAUCAAAGUUCUGGGUAGGGGAGUGGAGAUGUGGAGGCGGGGGUAGGAAGAUGCCUUUGCAGUGGGGACCGUCACUGCAGAGCAGGGGACCUUGGAGGUGGACCCAGGGAAUAUGGGCUGCGCGUGAACAGCACCUUCUCCACGUAAGCAUUGUGCACACAGGCUCAUGGAUAGACAUGAGGGUGGACAGACACGUGGAUUGCCAUGGGGAGGUUAGUGAGCUUUCUCUGGCCGGGGAGGAGAGAAGUUGGUCAGUGAGGUGACCCUGAGGCCUGCAUCUUCCCCUGCGGGACUGGCCAAGGCCCCUGCGUUGUCAAAGCUUGACAAGCAGGAGGGGAGGUGGCAGAGGGCCAUUCCAGGGCCUUGCUGAGGCUUCCCAACCCAAGGACUGAUGACAGGGACAAAGGCGCUUGGCUCCGACAGAGGCUCCUGUGUCCUGCCCUUGCCUGGCGCACAGCAGGCCUGCCCCACAGACACUUCUCCCCCAGGACUGAAGCUGCUGCUCGGGCGGGAGUUGGAACCCAAGAACAAAAACAGAAAUCAAGGAGCUAAUUCUUCAGCCUCCUCUGUACUAGUCCCGGCCACACACCCAGGUCCACAACCUCCUAGCUCCUAUUCCUUCCCCACAAGCCGUCUUCUGCCUCGUUGACUUUGCAUGUGCUGUUCCCUCCUCCUGGAAUGCCCUUCCACUACAAUCAACCUGGAACAUUCCUUUAGGAAUCCCUCAAGCCUCUGCUCAAGGGCCAUCCCCUGCAUUAAGCCUUCUGGUCAGAAGGAAUCCCUGCCUCCCCUCCACUCCCUGGGGACUUCGCUUGGACCCCAAACAUUACACUUACCAGCAUCCGUCUGGGGUCCUAUGUGCUGGCACCUCUGUGCCCACCAGCUCUGGGCUCCUCAAGAACAAAGACCAUGUCUGUGUCACCACUGCAUUCCCGGUGCCCAACCCAGAGCCUGGCACGGAUUCGGGGCCUCAGUUUCCUCAUCUGGAACAUGUGGGUGAUCACAGCACUCACCUCAUCGUGUUGGGGGGAGGAUUAGAGGAUUUGAUGUUGAAAUUGCUGUGCUUAGCACCGUGCCCGGCAUGAGAUAAGUGCUCGACAGGUGUUAGCCAUUAUGAUCAUCAGUGGGUUCCGAAUGGACUUGGAAGACUGGGGCAAAAGGAGAAAUAGAUCUGCCACGUGCCAGCUGCUGCAGAGUGCCUAUAACUGCGCUCCGUCACCCAUGCCACAGAUGAAGACACCAAGGCUCAGGGUGGGCCACAUGGCUGGGAAGGGGGAGAGCCGGGAGCUGCGUGCGGGUCUGUCUGGCUGCAGUGCCUGAGUUCUCCCCGCACUGUGCUGCGCUGGCUCCCUGUCUCUCUGUCUCCCUGUCUUUCUUCCCUCUUCCCUCAUGCCCUCCUCACCCGAGUGGGGCCAUGAGGGGCUGUCUGGGGGAGGGGGUAGAGGGUAAAACAUGGGCAUUGACUUUUAACAAAUCUGGGUUCAAAUCCUAGCCUGCCACUCGCUGGCUGUGUGACUAUACUGGGCUGGUGGCAUCUGCUCCCUGAGCCUCAGUUUCCCCACUGUCUCCUGAGGACUUCGGGGACCCUCUCCAAAGGCAGAUUUGCUAUGACACUGAAAAAGCUUAAGCUCCAGGACUCCUCACAUGCACAGACCCUUUCUGAAUAAAAAUUCACUUUCAUAAGUAAACUUGUAUUUG
rnacentral:lncRNA from 1 species